rnacentral:rRNA from 1 species
AGUGAACGCUGGCAGUCGGCCUAACACAUGCAAGUCGAACGGCAGCACAGGAGAGCUUGCUCUCUGGGUGGCGCGUGGCGGACGGGUGAGGAAUACAUCGGAAUCUACUCUGUCGUGGGGGAUAACGUAGGGAAACUUACGCUAAUACCGCCUACGCCCUACGGGUGAAAGCAGGCGACCUUCGGGCCUUGCGCGCUUGACUGAGCCGAUUGCGGAUGAGCUCGUUGGCGGGGUAAAGGCCCACCAAGGCCACGAUCCGUAGGUGGUCUGAGAGGAAGAUCAACCACACAGGAACUGAGACACGGUCCAGACGCCUACGGGAGGCAGCAGUGGGGAAUAUUGGACAAUGGGCGCAAGCCUAAUCCAGCCAUACCGCGUGGGUGAAGAAGGCCUUCGGGUUGUAAAGCCCUUUUGUUGGGAAAGAAAUCCAGCUGGCUAAUACCCGGUUGGGAUGACGGUACCCAAAGAAUAAGCACCGGCCAACUUCGUGCCAGCAGCCGCCGUAA